UACGUAGGCAGCGAGCGUUGUUCGGAGUUACUGGGCGUAAAGGGUGUGUAGGCGGUUGUUUAAGUUUGGUGUGAAAUCUCCCGGCUCAACUGGGAGGGUGCGCCGAAUACUGAAUGACUUCGAGUGCGGGAGAGGAGGGUGGAAUUCCUGGUGUAGCGGUGAAAUGCGUAGAUAUCAGGAGGAACACCGGUGGUGUAGACGGCUCUCUGGACCGUAACUGACGCUGAGACACGAAAGCGUGGGUAGCAAACAGG
rnacentral:rRNA from 1 species